rnacentral:rRNA from 1 species
GACGAACGCUGGCGGCGUGCUUAACACAUGCAAGUCGAACGGUAAAGCCCUUCGGGGUACACGAGUGGCGAACGGGUGAGUAACACGUGGGUGAUCUGCCCUGCACUUCGGGAUAAGCCUGGGAAACUGGGUCUAAUACCGGAUAGGACCACUGCCUGCAUGGGUGGUGGUGGAAAGCCUUUGCGGUGUGGGAUGGGCCCGCGGCCUAUCAGGUUGUUGGUGGGGUGAUGGCCGACCAAGGCGACGACGGGUAGCCGGCCUGAGAGGGUGACCGGCCACACUGGGACUGAGAUACGGCCCAGACUCCUACGGGAGGCAGCAGUGGGGAAUAUUGCACAAUGGGCGCAAGCCUGAUGCAGCGACGCCGCGUGAGGGAUGACGGCCUUCGGGUUGUAAACCUCUUUCAGCACCGACGAAGCGCAAGUGACGGUAGGUGCAGAAGAAGGACCGGCCAACUACGUGCCAGCCGCCGCCGUAA